CUUAAAACUUUUCACCAUUGAGAAUGAUGGUAGCUCCAGAUUUGUCACAUAUGGCUUUAUUGUGUUGUGGUCCAUUCCCUCUACGUCUAAUGUGUUGAGAGUUUUUGUGAUGAAAUGGUGUUAAAUCUUGUCGAAUGGUUUUUCUGCAUUUAUUGAGAUGAUCAUAGGAUUUUUAUCUUUCAUUCUGUUGAUGUGGUGUAUUACAUUAAUUGGUUUGUGUAUGUUGACUCAUCCUUGCUUCUCUGGGAUAAAUCCUACUUAAUCAUGGUGAAUAAUUCUUUUUUUAAAUUAUACUUUAAGUUCUAGGGUACAUGUGCACAACGUGCAGGUUUGUUACAUAUGUAUACAUGUGCCAUAUUGGUGUGCUGCAGCCAUUAACUCGUCAUUUACAUUAGGUAUAUCCCCUAAUGCUCUCCCUCCCCCCUCCCUCUACCCCACGACAGGCCUGGGUGUGUGAUGUUCCCCAUCCGGUGUCCAAGUGUUCUUAUUGCUAAAUUCCCACCUAUGAGUGAGAACAUAUGGCGUUUGAUUUCCUGUCCUUGCGAUAGUUUGCUCAGAAUGAUGGUUUCCAGCUUCAUCCAUAUCCCUACAAAGGACAUGAACUCAUCCUUUUUUAUGGCUGCAUAGUAUUCCAUGGUGUAUAUGUGCCACAUUUUCUUAAUCCAGUCCGUCACUGAUGGACAUUUGGGUUGGUUCCAAGUCUUUGCUAUUGUAAAUAGUGCCGCAGU
rnacentral:lncRNA from 1 species